rnacentral:rRNA from 1 species
UAGGGAAUCUUCGGCAAUGGACGAAAGUCUGACCGAGCAACGCCGCGUGAGUGAAGAAGGUUUUCGGAUCGUAAAACUCUGUUGUUAGAGAAGAACAAGGACGUUAGUAACUGAACGUCACCUGACGGUAUCUAACCAGAAAGCCACGGCUAACUACGUGCCAGCAGCCGCGGUGAUACGUAGGUGGCAAGCGUUGUCCGGAUUUAUUGGGCGUAAAGCGAGCGCAGGCGGUUUCUUAAGUCUGAUGUGAAAGCCCCCGGCUCAACCGGGGAGGGUCAUUGGAAACUGGGAGACUUGAGUGCAGAAGAGGAGAGUGGAAUUCCAUGUGUAGCGGUGAAAUGCGUAGAUAUAUGGAGGAACACCAGUGGCGAAGGCGGCUCUCUGGUCUGUAACUGACGCUGAGGCUCGAAAGCGUGGGGAGCAAACAGG